AUUGAACGCUGGCGGCAGGCCUAACACAUGCAAGUCGAACGAGUGGCGGACGGGUGAGUAAUGUCUGGGAAACUGCCUGAUGGAGGGGGAUAACUACUGGAAACGGUAGCUAAUACCGCAUACCAUCAGAUGUGCCCAGAUGGGAUUAGCUAGUUGGUGGGGUAACGGCUCACCGAGGCCACGAUCCCUAGCUGGUCUGAGAGGAUGACCAGCCACACUGGAACGGAGACACGGUCCAGACGCAUACGGGAGGCAGCAGUGGGGAAAAUUGCACAAAGGGCGCAAGCCUGAUGCAGCCAUGCCGCGUGUAUGAAGAAGGCCUUCGGGUUGUAAAGUACUUUCAGCGAGGAGGCGUUACUCGCAGAAGAAGCACCGGCUAACUCCGUGCCAGCAGCCGCGGUAAUAC
rnacentral:rRNA from 1 species